AUGAACGCUGGCGGCGUGCCUAAUACAUGCAAGUCGAGCGAACGGACGAGAAGCUUGCUUCUCUGAUGUUAGCGGCGGACGGGUGAGUAACACGUGGAUAACCUACCUAUAAGACUGGGAUAACUUCGGGAAACCGGAGCUAAUACCGGAUAAUAUUUUGAACCGCAUGGUUCAAAAGUGAAAGACGGUCUUGCCGUCACUUAUAGAUGGACCCGCGCUGCAUUAGCUAGUUGGUAAGAUAACGGCUUACCAAGGCAACGAUGCAUAGCCGACCUGAGAGGGUGAUCGACCACACUGGAGCUGAGACACGGUCCAGAAUCCUACGGGAGGCAGCAGUAGAGAAUCUUCCGCAAUGGCCGAAAGCCUGACGGAGCAACGCCGCGAGUGUGAUGAAGGUCUUCGGAUCGUAAAACUCUGUUAAUAUGAAUGAACAUAUGUGUAGGUAACAGUUCACAACUUGACGGUACCUAAUCAGAAAGCCACGGCUAACUACGU
rnacentral:rRNA from 1 species